ACACAGAAAUAUGAAGCCACCUUCACCCUCUGGAAUCCUCAGCUUAUGUAAAAUACUGACAGCUUACUGCAAUUUUACAGCAUUCCUCACAAGGUGGUUCAGGUAGACCUUCAAAGCUAUUAGCACUACCUCUCCCAGCUGAAGCACCAGCAAACCCAGCAAUUCAUGACUUCUUGUGAAUUCUCUUCCUGCCUGGAGUGUUGAGGGGUUGUA
rnacentral:lncRNA from 1 species